UACGAAGGUGGCAAGCGUUACUCGGAAUUACUAGGCGUAAAGGGCAGGUAGGUGGUCUGAUAAGUCUGUUGUGUAAGCUCCCGGCUUAACUGGGAGAGGUCAACGGAAACUGUCGGGCUUGAGUAUGGGAGAGGGUACUGGAGUUCCCGGUGUAGCGGUGAAAUGCGCAGAUAUCGGGAGGAACACCAAUGGCGAAAGCAGGUGCCUGGACCAUUACUGACACUCAGCUGCGAAAGCUAGGGGAGCAAACAGG
rnacentral:rRNA from 1 species